rnacentral:rRNA from 1 species
UACGUAGGGGGCAAGCGUUGUCCGGAAUUAUUGGGCGUAAAGAGCGUGUAGGCGGCCAGAUAAGUCCGCUGUGAAAUCUCGAGGCUCAACUUCGAGCUGUCGGUGGAAACUAUCUGGCUAGAGUCCGGAAGAGGAGAAUGGAAUUCCUGGUGUAGCGGUGAAAUGCGCAGAUAUCAGGAAGAACACCGGUGGCGAAGGCGGCCCACUGGAUCGGUACUGACGCUGAGGUGCGAAAGCGUGGGGAGCAAACAGG